AGUCGGAGCGAAGCGGCUGGCGGAGCAGAACGGAUUGCAGGGUCAGCCAUGUCAUCUGAGCCUCCCCCACCACCACAGCCCCCCACCCAUCAAGCUUCAGUCGGGCUGCUGGACACCCCUCGGAGCCGUGAGCGCUCACCAUCCCCUCUGCGGGGCAACGUGGUCCCAAGCCCACUGCCCACUCGCCGGACGAGGACCUUCUCGGCGUGAGUCUGGAGCGGGCAGGGGACGCGUUCUCAGAUGGAUCUCUUGCCUGAGGCCAGAGAUUCACUGUGUCUCUGGUCAUUUUUGGGCCUAUGUCCCGGACUGUCAAAUAGGCAGACCUGGGGCUGGGCUGAGGGUGAGAAACUAGGAAGGCGCCUUGUAAAUUCAGGGUACUGCCUAGCCCAAAAGAACCUGUUACCAGCUGGGAGUGGCAAUGGGUGGGCAAUUGCUGAGGUCAGAAUCGCUGGGCUUUAACCACACAUGAGAGUCUGUUUCCCUGUAAGACUGUGAAUUCUGCAGCUGCAAAAUGGGCACAGCACCAGGGCUGCGAAGGACCCACACGAUGCCUGGCAGAUGCAGGUCUCAGGCCCUGCGAGUGGAGGAUGCUUGUGUUAUUAAUAGUAAAUCAUUAGUUUCUGGAGGGAUGUUCAGUGAUGUUUUAGUUCAACUCCCUCUUUCCAGGAGGGAAAACAGGCCCGAGAAAAUUUGCCAGGGUCAUCCAAAGAGUCCUUUCCCCCAGCAUCUUUGUGAGCGGCUCCCAGGGUUGAGGGUUGUGCAGUCCUCAGCCUGUGUGACUGUACAUGGCGGUCCUGGCUAGGGCUUGAUGGGGCACAGCUGUGGGCAGGGGCUGGAAUGAGCUGUGUGUGCCCAGGAGCGCUGAUGGGGCCCCUGACAUUUCCCCCUCUCUGUCAGGACGGUGCGGGCUUCACAGGGCCCCGUCUACAAAGGAGUCUGCAAAUGCUUCUGCCGGUCCAAGGGCCACGGCUUCAUUACCCCAGCUGAUGGCGGCCCCGACAUCUUCCUGCACAUCUCUGAGUGAGUCAGCAGCGGGUCUGGGUGGCCUGGCUGGGGUGGGCGCUUCCUUGGCCCUGUGGAGGUGGGGAUGGUGUGUGACUCUGAUGGGCACUGGGUGUGAGGACGAAUGGCUGGGCCUGUGUGACUCUGACUGUGGCUGGUGCUCCAGCUGUGCUCCUGUGUGUGUUGGGUUGGGAAUGGCUGGGCCUGUGUGACUCUGCCUGUGGCUGGUGCUCCAGCUGUGCUCCUGUGUGUGUGUUGGGUUGGGGUUGUGAGACUCUACGGAGCUGUGUUGGGGGAUGUGAGGCUGGGGGCGACACGGUACCUGUGAUUGUCCCUGGGUGUGUCUUUGUGAAUAGGUGUGUAAGGUUUUGUGUGUGCUGGGCGUGGUGGCUCACGCCUGUAAUCCCAGCACUUUGGGAGGCCAAGGUGGGUGGAUCACGAGGUCAGGAGAUCCAGACCAUUCUGGCUAACGGUGAAAUCCCGUCUCUACUAAAAAAAUUAGCCGGGCAUGGUGGCGGGCACCUGUAGUCCCAGCUACUCGGGAGGCUGAGGCAGGAGAAUGGUGUGAACCCGGGAGGCGGAGUUUGCAAUGAGCCGAGAUUGCGCCACUGCACUCCAGCCUGGGCAACAAGAGCGAGACUCCAUCUCAAAAAAAAAAAAAAAAAAAAUUAGCAGGGUGUGGUGACAGGUGCAUGUAAUCCCAGCUACUCGGAAGGCAGAGGCAGGAGAAUCACUUGAAUCCAGGAGGUAGAGGUUGCAGUGAGCCGAGAUCUCACCAUUGCACUCCAGCCUGAGUGACAAGGGUGAAACUCCAUUUCAAAAAAAAAAAAAGGAUCGGGCAUGGUGGCUCACACCUGUAGUCCCAGCACUUUGGGAGGCGGGCGGAUCACCUGAGGUCAGGACUUCAAGACCAGCCUGGCCAACAUGGUGAAAUCCUGUAAUAACAAAAAUAAAUAC
rnacentral:sRNA from 1 species